GAAACGACUGCUAAGACUGGAUAGGAAAAGUGAAGGCAUCUUUACUUUUUUAAAAGACCUUCUUUGAAGGUAUGCUUAAGGAGGGGCUUGCGACACAUUAGUUAGUUGGCAGGGUAAAGGCCUACCAAGACUAUGAUGUGUAGCUGGACUGAGAGGUUGAACAGCCACAUUGGGACUGAGACACGGCCCAAACUCCUACGGGAGGCAGCAGUAGGGAAUUUUCGGCAAUGGAGGAAACUCUGACCGAGCAACGCCGCGUGAACGAUGAAGUACCUCGGUAUGUAAAGUUCUUUUAUUAAGGAAGAAAAAAGAGUGGAAAAACUCCCUUGACGGUACUUAAUGAAUAAGCCCCGGCUAAUUAUGUGCCAGCAGCCGCGGUAAUACAUAAGGGGCGAGCGUUAUCCGGAAUUAUUGGGCGUAAAGGGUGCGUAGGCGGUUUAAUAAGUCUAUAGUUUAAUUUCAGCGCUUAACGCUGUUGUGCUAUAGAAACUGUUUUACUAGAGUGAGAUAGAGGCAAGCGGAAUUCCAUGUGUAGCGGUAAAAUGCGUAAAUAUAUGGAGGAACACCAGAGGCGUAGGCGGCUUGCUGGGUCUUUACUGACGCUGAGGCACGAAAGCGUGGGGAGCAAACAGGAUUAGAUACCCUGGUAGUCCACGCCGUAAACGAUGAGUACUAAGUGUCGGGUAAAACCGGUACUGAAGUUAACACAUUAAGUACUCCGCCUGAGUAGUACGUACGCAAGUAUGAAACUUAAAGGAAUUGACGGGACUCCGCACAAGCGGUGGAUCAUGUUGUUUAAUUCGAAGAUACACGAAAAACCUUACCAGGUCUUGACAUUUUCUUGCGAAGUUAUAGAAAUAUAAUGGAGGUUAUCAGGAAAACAGGUGGUGCAUGGUUGUCGUCAGCUCGUGUCGUGAGAUGUUAGGUUAAGUCCUAAAACGAGCGCAACCCUUGUCGUUAAUUGCCAGCAUGUAAUGAUGGGGACUUUAACGAGACUGCCAAUGAAAAAUUGGAGGAAGGUGGGGAUUACGUCAAAUCAUCAUGCCCCUUAUGAUCUGGGCUACAAACGUGAUACAAUGGUUGAUACAAAGAGUAGCUGAAACGUGAGUUCUUAGCCAAUCUCAUAAAAUCAAUCUCAGUUCGGAUUGAAGUCUGCAACUCGACUUCAUGAAGUUGGAAUCGCUAGUAAUCGUGAAUCAGCAUGUCACGGUGAAUACGUUCUCGGGGUUUGUACACACCGCCCGUCA
rnacentral:rRNA from 1 species